CUCUUAAAGAUCAGGGCUCACUUGCACAAAGCGAUCUUAGCACUAAGACUAUCAUAAGCCUAUGUUAAGUAUGGAGUUACGAUCAUCUUAGCGCUAAGAUCGCUUUGUGCAAGUGGGUCCAGAUCUGUUGCAGCAAUAUGAUAGCUCUCUGCAUGAAGAACCCCUUCAUAGAACCAAACCUGUAUGCUGUGGUUGCCUGCCCCAGUCGACCUCGUAGCCACAACAGCGAUCCAAUAUGUGUUUGAUCGCCUGACUAGGGUGGUUGUCUAGUAGCCACAACAGCGAUCCAAUAUGUGUUUGAUCGCCUAAAUAGGGUGGUUGUCUAGUAGCCACAUCAGCGACCCAAUAUGUGGUUGGUCACCUGACUAGGGCGGUUGUCUAGUAGCAGCAACAGCGACCCAAUAUGUGGUUGGUCGCCUGACUACGGUGGUUGUCUAGUAGCCACAACAGCGACCCAAUAUGUGGUUGUUGCCUGACUAGGGUGGUUGUCUAGUAGCCACAACAGCGACCCAAUAUGUGGUUGUUGCCCGAACAAGCUGCCUAUCAAUGUAGAUCUUAGAGAUUGACAAUUGUAAACUAAAUAUCAAUCAAUUAUUAAAAAUAAAUAUCGGAGAAGUAACUUUUAGCAAAUAUGCAAAAAGCUCAGAGACAAAACAACACAUUUAUGCAUGGAUUACUUUGUGGACAUUUAAGAUACAUGUAUAACAAAGUCAGUUGCUCUCCGUCUUUGGCAAUGGACAAGACAAGUCUGCUCCGGUGAAUUAAAACUUUAUUUCAUCACAAUAGUUUAUGUGAGAUAUUAUCAAUGAUACAAUUUUCAUAUUGAUAAUCAUAACUAUUUCUUCCCUUCUGAUUAUUGAUCUUUUUGGCCAGCCUUACCAGUCUCACGAGGGGGGUUGUCUUGUUGGCGCAACAGCGUGGGGCUCAAUAAUCUGUGGUUGCCAACUCAGUGGGCUUAACCCGGGUAGUUGUGUACACAAUUGUGUUUUCCAAUGAAAAAGUCUGAAAUUGCAAACAGUUAAAUUGAAAAACAGCAUAAGCUCUGGAUGGCAAGGGCCGAUAUCUACCAACCAAUCCCAGAACUUCUAUCAUUAUGUAGAGUAGCAAUGCUAACUUGAUGGAGACAAGACUGGCACGGACACUAGCGAGUACGGUUCAUUAGAACAUGAAAGUGCAUCAGAACAACAGCCAAUCAAAUGAUUACUCUCACAUGAGCCUGAUGUGAUUGGUUACUUUGUGGGAAUGCCUAGUAUCAAGAAUUCUUCCAAAUCUAUGAUCACUGGAUUGUCGAUGUACUGGGUGGGAAGACAGUCAUGUCGUUCAUGGAAUUAGCAACAAUUGCUGUAUAUUUGUGCCGUGUACAUAUACUGUGAAUAGCAGGAGUGACGUCAUGUACAACACCAGCCGUCAGGUUGACGUCGGCGUUGGUGUCGAUGACUUGGUGCACCCAUUAUGCCAACCUAUACUGAACAUGUUAGGGAUCAUGACUUUCUGGGAGGAUAUCUCUGUGAAAUGUGUUGUCAGUCUUCACUACAAAAAGAUAUCCCCUAAAAUAUUCAUGGUCCUGAACUUUAUUUGUCGGUAUAUAAUGGUUUGGUUACAUGGAGCCGUUUCAGUUUUCUUUGUAUCACAGUGACUGUUGCUGCUGUGGUUCGUGGUAAAAUAUUUCACUUUUCCUCAUUAGUGUUUAUUUAGUUAUUUUUUCCCUUUGACUUAAUGAACUUAGCAAGCAAAAAUAACAACUUCCUGAAUUCUUUGAUUUAUUUCGUCACUCUGCCGUUAAUGUGACCUUGAUCUUUGUUUUUAUGAACUUUUAGUUAGGCUGAAUAAAUACACCCUAUCUACGAUGUUCAUAUACUACUGGAAAAAGUUGAGGGCCACUGAUUCUUUCAUAUUACUAUAGUUAAUCUGCCAUGAACUAUAGUAAUAUGGGGGCGGUCGGGUAGCCCAGUGGUUAAAGUGUUCGCUCGUCACGCCGAAGACCCGGGUUCGAUUCCCGACAUGGGUACAAUGUGUGAAACCCAUUUCUGGUGUCCCCCGCCGUGACAUUGCUGGAAUAUUGCUAAAAGCGGCGUAAAACCAUACUCACUCACUCACUCUAGUAAUAUGAAUGAAUCGCGUGGUCCUUAACUGUUUUUCAGUACUUUAUUGAUGAUAAUGUUAACAAGUAUUCAUGUACAUGACAUUAAGUGCGUUUCUUAUAUUUCAAUGGUUAAAUUUAUGUUUUGGUGUAUUGUAAACUUACUUUUAAUACAAUAUGGGCUUUGAUGAUGGUUUAUCAGAGUCAAAGAGAAAAAACUUGUUUUCUGAGGAUAUUCACGGUCAUGUUUCAUUGUAUCACUGGCAGACAUUUAAUCCAGCUGCUUGUAGAGACGACCCUGUUCACUAGUAGCAAGCUUUGUACAUAGCUCAUUGAACAGAUGGAGAAAGACUGUUAUAGAAGCUUAAGGUACACUGUUACGCAUUAGUUACCCAUAGGAAUUUGGUUUUGAUUCAAAUGUUUGUCCCUUCAUAAAGAUUGUGGCAUUAAAUUUGUCUUCAUGUUUGUUGUAUACAUGUCCAUUGGGAAUGAUUAUGUAGUUCUGAAAUAGAAAGAAAAUUAUUUGAGCCAGCUUUUAUCAAGAAGCAUUGGCAAUACAAAAGGUAUAAAUACACUCAAAUCUUUGGACAUAUUUGGCAUUCAAAUGUAAAGAGUUUUUGUUAAAACACCGUGUUCACUCAGUCCAGAUUUUCCCGAUUUUCCCGAUUUCACAUAAAACAACCCUUAAGCACCAAUAGCCAUCAACCAUUACUAUAUAUGCUGAAACUAUCAUUUAAUACAGAAAGUAAAUCAAUUUUUUUUGUACCUUUAGCUUGUUUUCAAAUGCUUCUUAUCAAAAUUGGAAAAUAUUGUGCAGAUCAGAUAUUCCCUGUGAGUGUGUCUCUUGCAAACUUCAGAACAUUUUCUUUCUAAUUCAGAGUCUACAAUGGGACUGUGGGUGAUUAACACCAGGAAAGACAACUCUUGCAUGUCCUCAUACACAGCCUUCUGAGGCACAGCAGAUUCUUGUACAGAGUUGUGUCCCUUAGAUAUGCCAUAAAACUAUGUGGUUUGAAUCCUGUCGUCCUGAUCAUGUUUCUAGUUCAGCACCAUACCCGUGCUUGUGGGUUUCUUCAAAGUUGUAUAUGUCGAGGACCUGCAUUUCAGGAUUUCCUCCCAUUUAAAGCUCACAUGUUGUGAUAUUACUGAAAUACUGUUCUAAGUAUACAAGCUUACUCAUCUACUGUAUUAAUCGAGACAAAGCUCACUGAAACAGCUUAGGUCAUCGUAGGUGAAAUUCAAUUUCACGACCUUGCAAAAUAUGUUCCAACUGACUUAUCCGAGGAUAGCUCCUACAGUCCAUAUUACCAGGACUCUGUGACAAUGUUAACAUGGCAUCAUCAGGAUCAGUCCUUAAGUGCGUAGCCUUGUUCAGUGAUGCGUCAGUGUCUGUCUGUAUACAUGUUUGUGAAUACUCAUCACGAUAGUCUAUUCUCCAUCUGUCGUCACUUCCGUUGCGCCAUUAGUACUCCGUGGAGACAGUGAUGGUCAGCUUCAAGCGUGUCAUUCCUCAUACAGUCAGUCAGUCAGUUUGUGUCAUGAAAGGGAAUACAUCCGUGUACAGUCUUGAGUCUGGCACUGGCACUGGUCAAACUGGCAGACACUAUUCCCUUUACAACUUGUUCUGAUGUCUAUGGUGUUGGGGUGGCAGAGUUGUGUCCCUUAUUUGAUGGAUCUGCUGGCCAUAUGUUUAAUCCCAUAUUUACCUGACUGUCGUGUUUUUGUUUUUCUGCAUCAGACUUGGUUUUCACCAAGUCACAACACGCGACACUUUUGGCUUCACCUCUCGCAUCAAACUGGCGUAUCAUGAUAAGUAAAAUACUGCUUUUAGUCAGGCAUGGUUGGCCGCCCAGUUGUCUAAGGCACCAAAUACCCAACAGAAGCCAUUAAUCAUGGGUUUGAACCCUCGUUUGCUCAGGUUCAAGGUUUGUCAGCGCCAAACCCGUAAUUGUGUUUCUCCAAAGUGAUAACAUCUAAGAUCUUCUUCCAUUCUAACUUUCCUCCCACAUCAAUGUCAUAUAACUGAAAUACUGUUUGAAGCGGCGUUAUACCCAUACUCACUCACCAAGAGGUAUAUACCCCAACACAAGAUGUUUUGUACAUGUCAAAGCUCAGAUGAGAAAAGUUGAUUUUACUUUUUAAUUGGUUAAAUUAAGUUCUAAGUCAUUAUCAAGUUUAAUUUAAAGAGGAUUAUUUGACAAUCUUAUUAAAUCAGAAUUUUAUGCCGAGACGAUGGCUCUGUGUGAGGGGUAUGUCACAUCAGAGUAAGGGUUUGAUCAAAUAUUCCACCAGUAGUUGGAGUCUGUGCCAGGGCUGGGUCUGUACUGGAUGUAUGUGGUACCUGCAUGUUGUCAAACAAUAUAUUCACCAAUGACUUGUAACUGUAUGGCAAGGAAUACAGUUUGUGUUGAAUAUUUGUAUUAAACAUAUAAACGUCAAAA